rnacentral:rRNA from 1 species
CGUGUAGGCUGUUCGGAAAGUCGGAUGUGAAAGCCCUGGGCUCAACCCAGGAAGUGCAUUCGAAACUCCCGAACUGGAGUCCUGGAGAGGAAGGCGGAAUUCUCGGUGUAGAGGUGAAAUUCGUAGAUAUCGAGAGGAACAUCGGUGGCGAAGGCGGCCUUCUGGACAGUGACUGACGCUGAGACGCGAAAGCGUGGGGAGCAAACAGGAUUAGAUACCCUGGUAGUCCACGCCGUAAACGAUGGGUGCUAGGUGUCGCGGGCUUUGACCCCUGCGGUGCCGUAGCUAACGCAUUAAGCACCCCGCCUGGGGAGUACGGCCGCAAGGCUAAA